rnacentral:rRNA from 1 species
AGCAGUCGCCGCGGGAAUACAGAGGGUGCAAGCGUUAAUCGGAAUUACUGGGCGUAAAGCGCGCGUAGGUGGUUUGUUAAGUUGGAUGUGAAAUCCCCGGGCUCAACCUGGGAACUGCAUCCAAAACUGGCAAGCUAGAGUAUGGUAGAGGGUGGUGGAAUUUCCUGUGUAGCGGUGAAAUGCGUAGAUAUAGGAAGGAACACCAGUGGCGAAGGCGACCACCUGGACUGAUACUGACACUGAGGUGCGAAAGCGUGGGGAGCAAACAGGAUUAGAUACCCGGGUAGUCCCUGUCUCUUAUAC